UGACAACUGACCCCAAAGAAAGACUGGGGCAGACUAGAAUUAACAUGAUACUUUACUACAUUAUCUGCUCACCUCUUACUUUUUCUUGCUUCUUUCCUGAGGGAGAAGAGUAUAUAAAUAAUUAUAAACAUAAGGCCAUAGAAACCAGAUACGGAAACUGA
rnacentral:lncRNA from 1 species